rnacentral:tRNA from 1 species
GGGUGCGUGGCUCAGUGGUUAGAGCCAAGGGCUCCUAACCGAAGGGGUCCCGAGUUCGAUCCUCGCAAGAGGCA